rnacentral:rRNA from 1 species
UACGAAGGGGGCUAGCGUUACUCGGAAUCACUGGGCGUAAAGCGCGUGCAGGCGGCCUAGCAAGUCAGGUGUGAAAGCCCGGGGCUCAACCCCGGAUGUGCACUUGAAACUGCUUGGCUAGAGUCCGGAAGAGGGGUGUGGAAUUCCUAGUGUAGAGGUGAAAUUCGUAGAUAUUAGGAGGAACACCAGUGGCGAAGGCGACACCCUGGUCCGGUACUGACGCUCAGACGCGAAAGCGUCGGUAGCAAACAGG